rnacentral:lncRNA from 10 species
UGGGAUUACAGGCAUGAGCCCCCACACCCAGCCAAUUUAAAAAUUUUUUUUUAUAGAGACAAGGUCUUGCUUUGUUGUCCAGGCUGGUCUUGAACUCCUGGUCUCCAGCACUUCUCCUGUCUUGGCCUCCCAAAGUGCUGGGAUUACAGGUGGGAGCCACUACACUCAGCCAGAAGUUUUUCCUAAGAAUAGUCUCUGUUUCCUCCAAGUUACUUUUCUACUUGUUUGUUGUUUGGCAUCUGUCUUUCAUGUUAUGGACUUUUCUCAAAUAUCUGAUGAUCCUUGGCUGCCUACUCAUGUUUAAGAACAGGGCACUUAGAAGCCAUUUGGAAGCUAUGUGAAUAAGUUAGAUUUAUCAACUGUGGAUGCAUUGAUCUGGCUGGACCAUUUUCCUGGGAAACCCAAUGAUUUAACAUCUUUAAAACAUUUUCCUCUAUGAUCAAAUUCUGCAGAGAAGAGUAUGCCAACUGCCUGCAUAGGAGGGGCAAAAGGCUUCUCAUCAGCCCCAAGAUUUAAUGGGAAAACUUUCACUUAAUUACCUUUUAAAAAAUUGGUCCUUCUUCAUACUCUCAGGCUCACCUUACUCUUAUUCUAGGCACCACUGCAGUGACCAGUGCUGUAUGGGCACUCAUCAGAUUCACACAGACGCACCUUGACAGCCUCACCACAGUCCUGUGUCACAUGCUUCUCACCUCCCUCCCCAGGGCUCCUCUAAUGCUGUAGGGGGCGAUGCUGUGAGAACCUGCUCUUUGUCCAUGAAAGCAUAACCCAUAAGUGCAGGAGAAUUAACACUCCAUCAGGUCAACUUUGGAUUUAGGAACAUUUGAACUAAUGGACAGAUGCUAUCCCUUUCUCUCCACCAGACCAAUGCUUCCGAGGGCUCAAGCAAUCAUCUACCCAUGGCAGUGACUGUCUUUGCUAACACCUCCCUCAACUGGCUCCUCCUCCUGGUCUGCAUUGUAUUCGUCUUUUUUUUUUUUUUUUUUUGAGAUGGAGCCUCACUCUGUCACCCAGGGUUGGAGUGCAAUGGUGUGAUCUUAGUUGACUGCAACCUCCAUCUCCCGGGUUCAAGCAAUUCUCAUGUCUCAGCCUCCCGAGUAGCUGGGAUUACAGGCCUGCACCACCACACCCGGCUAAUUUUUGUAUUUUUAGUGGAGAUGGGGUUUCACCAUGUUGGCCAGGCUAAUCUCGAACUUCUGACCUCAGGUGAUCCACCCAUCUCAGCCUCCCAAAGUGUUGGGAUUACAGGCGUGAGCCACCACACCCAGCUCUUCCUUGCUUUUCUCCAUAGGAUCACACUCCCCAACAGAAAACUCAUUCUCAAGACUUUGUCUCAGCCUCUGCUUUCUGGGAUCCCUCAGCAGGAAGGCUGCCAUCUGCAAGCCAGGAAGAGAGAACUCACCAGAAACCAAAUCAGCUGGCAUCUUGAUUUGGACUUCCCUGCCUCCAGAACUG